UACGUAGGGUGCGAGCGUUAAUCGGAAUUACUGGGCGUAAAGCGUGCGCAGGCGGUGAUGUAAGACAGGUGUGAAAUCCCCGGGCUUAACCUGGGAACUGCAUUUGUGACUGCAUCGCUGGAGUGCGGCAGAGGGGGGAUGGAAUUCCGCGUGUAGCAGUGAAAUGCGUAGAUAUGCGGAGGAACACCGAUGGCGAAGGCAGCCCCCUGGGUCAAGAUUGACGCUCAUGCACGAAAGCGUGGGGAGCAAACAGG
rnacentral:rRNA from 1 species